rnacentral:tRNA from 1 species
ACUUAAUUAGUUUAUUUAAAAUAAAGAUUUGUGGAGUCUUAGAAACAGAAAAGUAUUAAGUU